rnacentral:rRNA from 1 species
UACGAAGGGGGCUAGCGUUGCUCGGAAUCACUGGGCGUAAAGGGUGCGUAGGCGGGUCUUUAAGUCAGGGGUGAAAUCCUGGAGCUCAACUCCAGAACUGCCUUUGAUACUGAAGAUCUUGAGUUCGUGAGAGGUGAGUGGAACUGCGAGUGUAGAGGUGAAAUUCGUAGAUAUUCGCAAGAACACCAGUGGCGAAGGCGGCUUACUGGUCCGGAACUGACGCUGAGGUGCGAAAGCGUGGGGAGCAAACAGG